AAAACUGAAGUGCAAAUGACUUAAAACUUCAAACCCAAGUAGAAACCUAACGCAUACCUUAUUUUUGAGAAUGUCAGCUGAUUUUCUAGUCACCCUUGCUGCAACACAGCCAUGUUAUGCGGUAAAGCGCACAAAUGCUGCAAAUGCGGUUUUAGUUUCGCACUCGAGUGCACAGUGCAGGCAGUUUCCGGCUCAAUUUCCUUCGAAAACAAAAUGUUCCGUUUAGAACCAGGUCAAUACCAUAAUCGGACAUUGUGAGCUACCGUUAUGGCUUGAAAAUUUUCCUAGGGUGGGUCAAAAAUAGGCAUUGCAGAGAGAAGAUGCAUUUGUUU
rnacentral:lncRNA from 1 species